rnacentral:rRNA from 1 species
GUGAGGAAUUUUCCGCAAUGGGCGAAAGCCUGACGGAGCAAUGCCGCGUGAAGGAUGAAGGCCUAUGGGUUGUAAACUUCUUUUCUCAGAAAAGAAUUAUGACGGUAUCUGAGGAAUAAGCAUCGGCUAACUCUGUGCCAGCAGCCGCGGUAAGACAGAGGAUGCAAGCGUUAUCCGGAAUGAUUGGGCGUAAAGCGUCUGUAGGUUGUUUAAAAAGUAUUCUGUCAAAGAUUAGGGCUUAACCCUAGAUAGGCAGAAUAAACUUUUAAGCUAGAGUUUGGUAGAGGCAGAGGGAAUUCCCGGUGGAGCGGUGAAAUGCGUCGAUAUCGGGAGGAACACCAAAGGCGAAGGCACUCUGCUGGGCCAAUACUAACACUGAGAGACGAAAGCGAGGGGAGCAAAUGGGAUUAGAUACCCGGGUAGUCC